CCGGCCAGUCUGCUUCUUAUUUUUCCUGGGAAAUCAGCUCCAGGGGUCUAUCCAAUAAGACCUUCAUGUUUGCUGAACUUUUUGUUGAUCUAAAACAGACAUCAGCUGUUGGAAAGACACUGCUACUUUAAGAUGUUGGCCUGGGCAGAUAUUCCAGCAGUUUUAUUUUCCUCAGGAUUGUCAUGGGGAGAGGAGAACAAACUGUCUCAGCUACAGUGAAGCCGGGUCAUUUAGUCCUCUCAUUGCCUUAUUUUUAUAUGCAACAGCGCCCAGCUCAGGGCCUUAUGAGGCAGAAGGUGAAACUGACUCUGGAGGCGGGGACUCGGGUACCGGACCAGAUUGAGAACUAGCUAAACAGGGUCGGGCAGAGGCGGCUUUCCAUAAGACAGGGCCACCACGGCACCAUGUCAGUUUACCAUCGCCAUGGCAAUACCCGGAAGUUACCACCCCUUUCCAUGGCAAUGACCUGGAAGUUACCACCCACCUAGACAUUUCUGCAUAAACUGCCUCUUAAUUUGCAUAUAAUUAAAGACCAACUCCAUCAGAUGUUCCGGAGACUGAGGAAUCAAAGCCUUAGAAGACCAGGGUUAGGAAAUUAUACAGCAACAGGACUAACAGGAGAACAGGACACUCUCCAAACUCUCCCUCCAGUCUAAGAUGAUGCCAGCUCCAGGAAGUUGGGGAUUGUCUUCCUCACUCCUGUAUUCCCGGCUCCUAGAACAGUGACUGUCACCCAGCAGCUGUUGAGCUAAUGGCUAUUGAGUGGACAACCACUCGAGCAACAAUGCAGUCAGCUUCGUGGACUUUGUUUUACUGAGGGGCAUCUGGAGAGUUGGGACCAGAGGUGAAUUGCUCAAGAGAAGAGGGAAGCAGUGAGGACACAGCUGUCCUCCUCCAUCUAUCCCCAGAGCCUAUAAGGAGGAGGCGCAGAGGACACACCAUGUGAGGACACAGCAAGAAGGCAGCUGUUUGUAAGCCAGGAACAGAGCCCUCACCAGAAACUGACUU
rnacentral:lncRNA from 1 species